rnacentral:rRNA from 1 species
GGUGGCGAUCAUACCAGCACUAAUGCACCGGAUCCCAUCAGAACUCCGCAGCUAAGCGUGCUUGGGCGAGAGUAGUACUAGGAUGGGUGACCUCCUGGGAAGUCCUCGUGUUGCACUUC